GCCCUUCACCUCUCAGCCUCACUCACAACCCCAGCAGAAAGUCACUUGGGUGGUGCUGGGGGUCAGAGGAGGCCUGGACAUGUCCCCACUUGCCCAGAAUAACUGAAAAACCAAAACCCAGCCAGGACUUGGCAUCCAUGGGCUCCAGGCUGUCACUACUCUAAGCUGCGGUCCAGCUUCAUUUACACAAAUCUGAGCUAAGCUCCUGCCAGGGCCCCCGUCCCCAGCUAUUAGACAGAAAGGAGCCUGGAUCCUGGCAGCCCACAGUCCUGGGAAUCGUUUCUUAGGAACCAGCAGCUUCUCCCAGGGGAAGCUGGGUUUCUCCCCUGCAGAAGAGUCCAGAUUUUUCCCCAUGGAAACGGAGACCCUGGAUCCUGGUCACCGCUCCAAGGAUGCAGGCUUUACCGCCCCAGCUCACCCGGGAUGGGCAGCCAACAGGCUGCUGUUGGCUCUCCCUGGUCUCGCUCCUUCUCUGCCUACUUCUGUCUCCCGGGCUCCAUGUCUUGAACCUUCCUUGCUCUCCACACUCUCUGUUCCAAUCUCCAUCUCUCUCCCUCUCUCCCUUUCUGUUGCUGUGACUUCCUCGUGGAGAGAAACGGGCACUGGCCACAGCUCCGAAGGCUGCGGAAGCGAGGAGAGUAGCUCUGCCCUAGUAACACGCAGCAGAGACAACUCUUCUCGGGAAUUAAUGAGACCACCAAGAACAAAAGAGGCGACGACCAGCAGAGGCCAGAGAGGCGGGGCCCAGCAAAGCCGUCCCCGCAGAACCGCACGCCCUCAAUAAUAGAGUGAGGAAAAAUGGAGUAGAGAUCCCUGUGGUAAAAACUAUUAGAGGAGGCGAAUUAUAAAACUAUUAACCAGAAUGUAACUCCCAAUUAAAAGAUGAUUUAACACUGGAACCUGAUGGAUGAAUUUUGAUUAAAUGGAGAACUAUUAGGAGCCCAGGGAUAAGGCUGCUCCUGCCAGUUCUAAAAGUUAAAAGGCAGUUUGAUAUAAAAAUUUAUAAAUUAAGGUUAAUUACUUUAAAUAACAUGGCUGCAAGCAAUGAAAGGAAAUUUGUCAGAAUCUCCAGAGUUUGGGGCAAGAUGGAUACAGAUGUCCCAGCUGGCCCCCGGGAGCUUGGAGGUCAGGGUAGGGACGGUUGAG
ensembl:lncRNA